rnacentral:rRNA from 1 species
CCCGCCCGGAACCCCACUGCUAUCGAGAUGGGACUAAGGUAUGCUAGUCGAACGACCAGAACUAUGUCUGGGAGUGGCACACUGCUCAGUAACACGUAGCUAACCUACCCUUAGGACGUGGAUACCCCCGAGAAAUUGGGGUUAAUCCGCGAUAGAUGUAAUGUCCUGGAAUGGUAUUACGUCUAAAGGUAUUUCAUACAUGUUUGAAAUAUGCCUAAGGAUGGGGCUGCGGCCGAUCAGGCUGUUGGUGAGGUAAUGGCUCACCAAACCUUUGACCGGUACGGGCCAUGAGAGUGGUAGCCCGGAGAUGGACACUGAGACAAGGGUCCAGGCCCUAAGGGGCGCAGCAACCGCGAAACCUCCACAAUGCACUCACGUGCGAUGGGGCUAUCUCGAGUGCCACCUGAUGAAGGUGGCUUUUCCUUGGUCUUCAAAGCCUUGGGAAUAAGAGGGGGGCAAGACUGGUGUCAGCCGCCGCGGUAACACCAGCCCCUCGAGUGGUGGGGAUGAUUAUUUGGCCUAAAGCGUCCGUAGCCGGCCGUGAAAGUCUUCCGUUAAAUCCAGCGUCUCAAGCGUUGGACCGCGGGAGAUACUACAUGGCUAGAGGGUGGGAGAGGUCAGCGGUAUUCUGGGGGUAGGGGCGAAAUCCUUUGAUCCCCGGAGGACCACCAGUGGCGAAGGCUGCUGACUAGAACACGUCUGACGGUCAGGGACGAAAGCUGGGGUAGCGAACCGGAUUAGAUACCCGGGUAGUCCCAGCCGUAAACGAUGCAUGCUAGGUGUUGGGUUGGCCACGAGCCACCCCAGUGCCGCAGGGAAGCCGUUAAGCAUGCCGCCUGGGAAGUACGAUCGCAAGAUUGAAACUU